UUAAUGGCAAAUGCAAACAGGAAGGCGAAAACAACAGGCCAUGCAACGAUUAUUCCUGCAACGACUCCUAGAAAAUCAUGCUUAAAUCCAAAAUAACGCCCCAAGAAUUGUUCAACAUUUUCAUCAUCGGUGAGAGGAGUUUGGAUGUCUCCGAAUUGUGAUGCAACAAGACCAUACAAGGUCCAUGCAACAGGGCAAGCCCAAUAGUACCAUCUCCACCAUAUUGGAAUUCGCUGUUUUAAGCAAAACAGACAAAGACAACAUGUCAUUUUUCCGAAAUACAGUUUAGUUUAGGUGGAUAAAAAGAAAGAUGGAAAUGAAGGAUUUGCAAAAACUUACAGGUCGGGGAACGAUGAAUCCUGAGAAGAGAUUCCAUACUGCAUAGAAGAAGGCCGCUACUAUAGAAGCAACGUUUUGAUUCGGGGAAAUAGCCACAGUCAUCAUGCCAUAGAAGGUGAAGUACAGAGAGUGAAGUACAUGAUGAAUAAGUACCAAAAGAACUUGGCAACAGUCCAUUCGAAUCCGAUCAUUGCAUACACAAUUAUACCAUAGAAAGCUGCUUGUACAAAUACAUAAGGUAUUUCAACGAUAACCUGUCCAAAGGCAUAAGGUAAAGACAGAAUACAUUCCAGCAGCUCUUUCUCUGUAAAAUACAGUACGCUCAACGGCUACAACAGGCUGGACAGAUGAUGAAUUUUGUACACCAAGGAAGAGAGUUGCAGCAUACAUAGAUCCCAUGGCAUUAAAAAGAUCCUGGCUCUGACUCCUGUGAUCAAUAAAGAUCGAAAAGUUUAGGGAAAAAAUUACCUUUUUUUUCAAGUUUAUAUUUACUUAUUGUGAUUUUACUUACACUCUGCCACCAAGAUCCCAGAACAAUGUGCCAAAGACAAGUGCUAGGAUGACUGUGAAGAUGAAUCUAACUGCCGUGUAAGAUGGAUUACGCCAGUAUGACAAAUGUUGCUUCCAGAGACAUGCCAUACAUUGAGUCCAGAAAGACUGUGAAAAUUGAGUUUCAAAAUGCAGAUCCUUUGUACCAGGACGAGGCGUACUUAAUUCAGCAAUUAAGGCUUUGUUCCUCUUGUAGAGGUCUGAUUUCUUGUACAAAUCAGCAAAGUCAACUCCUAACAUCAUUUCUUGAGAUGCGGCUGUGACUUCUAACAUCCAAGUUGCUGGAUUGUAAGCCUCUUUAAUCUUACUAACCCCAGGCAAUGACUGAACUCAACACGAAACUAAAAUUAGUAUUUGAUUAUAUAAACUAGGAAAAAGUAAACACAUAUUUUUCUCAUUUACAAUGGCAGCAGCUAUUACCUCAAAGUAUUUGAUCAAAUGACAAGAAUAGCGACCCAGAGGACCAACAUAUAUCUCCUGUCCUCCUCGUUUCAUUAGAAAUAGCUGCAAAGCCAAGUUUCACUUUUAGUAUCAGGUGGCAAAGAGAAAGAGGUAACAUAUAUUAGCAUAAUUGUAUUGGAAGGUUAAUAAGCUCACCUCAUCAAAGGCUUCAAAAAUGUCGAUGCUAGGCUGAUGAAUGGUACAGACGACGGUUCUUCCUGUAUCGACAGUGUUCCUAACAGCUCUCAUUACAAUGGCAGCAGCUCUUGCAUCCAACCCUGAAGUUGGUUCAUCCAUGAAAAUGAUAGAGGGGUUUGCUACCAGUUCAACUGCAAUGGUCAGCCUUUUGCGUUGCUCGGUUGAUAGACCAUUGACUCCAGGCAAUCCGACUAAGGCUGAUCUUAAGGGAGUUAGCUCCACAAGUUCCAUAACUUCCUCAACAAACAUCUGCAGAGAGGUGAUAUAUCAAUAUGUAAUUGCCCUGCCUUACAUGUUUCAUUAAUUUGUUUGACCAAUUUUAUGGAGAAAGGGUUGAGGGGAGCUGACCUUUCUCUUGUUUUUAUCAACAUCUUGAGGUAAACGCAACCAAGCUGAGUAAACCAAUGACUCAUAAACUGUAAUAUAAGGCGAAUGGAUGUCAUUCUGCUCACAAUAUCCAGAAAUACGUGCAAAUGUUUCUUGCUUCUUCGGAUAUCCAGAAAUCUUGAUGUCACCAUCAAUAUAUCCUCCUGUUUUUCUUCCGGCCAAUACAUCCAUCAAUGUUGUUUUACCAGCUCCACUAACGCCCAUCAAAGCUGUGAGAACACCUGGCCUGAAAGCUCCACUCACACCUUUUAGAAGUACCAAUCUAUCUUCAGUGGAACCUUGGUCUUUUAUUUCCUGCAAUUCAUUAGAAUGUUAAGUUAGUUGUUCAUAGAAAAUGAAAGCCUUACGAAUCACGAAUAUUAUUCAUGAAAAGUUCUGGAAAGUUACCUGAGGCAUGUCAACGGAGUAUACAACGUUAUCAAAAGUGAUGGAAUGCGGUUCAAAUGGAAGAACCAUUCCCCUCUUCUUGUCCUGACCAUCAGUUUCACUUCCCUCAAUGAGUCUAACAUUCUCACUGUCUUCUGAUAUUAUAGCUUGUGGCUUACCAAAAGCUGAAGAUGUUUAAUAAAUAUGGUAUAUGUCAUCGUUCAUUUUAUGUUCUUUUCAAGGGGAAUUUAAAGGCAUCAGAGAUACUCACGGUUCAGGUAAGCGAGUGCAAUACUGUAGCAGAGGUUGAAGAUUAUUAUGUAUCCGAUAAGUGCCCCAACACCUAUCCAGUACCAAUAUGCAUCUGGAAAGAACCCUCGAGAUCUUACGACAGCAUGUCCAAGUGGCUCAGCUCCAUUUGGCACAAUCUGUUUAAAUUAAGAGUAAAAAUGAGCUAUUUGCAUGUGGUUUGGAAUAAAAACACAAGAAUUAAGCUAUUUGCAUGUGGUUUGGUAUAAAAACACUUACAUGUUCCCAUUUCUUCCCAUCAAAUUCAUUCACAAGAAUUGAAUUCACAGAAUACAUUAAUGGUGAGAUCCAGUAACCCCAGAUCCACCAUUUCUUCACAUCAUCUGUAGUAUCAUGCAAACAAGAAUAUAAAUAAAGGUAUGAUUGAACAAGAAAAAUAAUUUUUGCAAACAUAAUAAAACAUACUUCUCGAGAGGACAAAUCCAGACAAUGCAAAUUGCAAAACCAGUGCAAAUGCUCCAAAUGUGGUAGCGACUCCCAUUGUUCUCCCCGCUGCACCAAUGAAUCUGAACAAUCCCGAUGCCAUCUGGUGUACUAGUACGAGAAGCAAGAAUUGUUUGAACAAUCUGCAAAGCCAUAGUCCCUUAAUAAUCAUGAAAAUUAUGAAAGACCAUCAAAUUAUUACUUUGAACAAUCUUUUUUACUUCUCUUACCUUGAAACAUUUGGAUCAAAUCCCAUGACAUAAUAUGUAAGAAAUGUCCAAAGACCAACUUCAAUAAAUGUAAUUGGGAUUUUGAGGAUCCAUGUCGGAAGGGCAUAAGCCCAUGAUGGAUAAAAAAGAAGGUCCCUUUGCUUGAAGUAGACUGGAAGCUUUAAAAUCGUCAGGUUGAUCUCAGCCAUUCCAUUAAACAUAAUCACAACGACUACGAAAAAGAGAGCACCAGCAUACAUCCCUCCAUCAUCCAUAUCAUCUCGGGGCAUCUUAGUACGGAAAAAGACGGUCAUCAUUAUCAUUGCCAUUACCAUGAGCUGAGAAAACAGAACAGAAACAAAGAUUAUUUGUAAUUGCCACAUGGUCAUGAAAUGGAAAACACUUUUAUAUUUCUAAUAGACUAAGUAGUAAGUACCUGAAAGAGCUUGAAUAUGUAAACAAAUGAGUUCCUCUUCAUUAGUAGGAAUUCUCGGUCAGCGCAGACCUUCAACAUUUGUUUUGUCCCUAUACCAUACUUCUUAGUAGACAAAGCAGCAGGGUGGCUUUUGGUCUUGUCGUAAGGAGUUGUAAGCUCAUCGGCGAGUUUCUUUCCAACAUGGAAAGACUGAUAUGCCUCAGCAAAUUCUUUUGAUGUGAUAAACCUAUAAGGCUUAUCCUUCUUAGCCCAAUAUUGUUGUUGAUCCUUCUUUGAUGUUACCUGCAAGAAAUAAUUUAAAACUUCAUUCUUGUAUGCCUAAGACAUAGUUAACUACAUAAAAGUUUGGUAUAUCUAACAGAUUAAGCUUUUAUGGUGGUCACACACUUCAACAUAUUAUCAUAAUAGAUUGUUAGUUAAGUUUCAUCACCCUUCAUGAAAAAUAAUCAGAGUGGUACAUGAAGAGACACAUUGAAGACAUAAUGAACUAUAUUGUAAGACACAGUUCAACACAACAUCAUAAACUUCGCAGGUUAUACUCUAUUGUAAGACAUACCUCUUGCAAAAAAUCUGCCACACCUUUUCUCUCGGGGCACUUGAAUCCCAUGGAUUCAAAGAAGUCAAGAACAUCUUCCCGAGGGCCCUGAUAGACAAUGCAUGCAUCUGACAGCAGAAUUAUGUCAUCAAACAAGUUGUAAGUCUCAGGGGCUGGCUGUAACAGAGAUAUCACAGCAGUUCCCUUCAAGAGCUGCACCGAUUGUCUUAACGAAUUGACAAUGGAGAAAGUAGUUGAACUGUCCAAUCCAGUUGAGAUUUCAUCCAUGAAAAGCGCCUUUGAUGGUCCAACAAGCAUUUCACCCGUCGUUACACGUUUCUUUUGCCCCCCUGAAAUACCCCUUAACAUUUCAUCUCCCACCAUAGUAUCAGCACAUACAUCCAGUCCCAAAAUCUGCAAAUGGAAGUCAAAUUAGUAACAUCCAUAAGAUAGGUUAUCCGCGACAUCAAGUUAAAAAGCGCUAUAUACACUAAAUCCUUAUUAAGUGAAAUAAUUGAAUGUGGUAAAUGUUACCUUAAGAACAUAAUCUGUAACAAUGUUGGCUUCCUGUCCUUUUGUUACUGAAGCCUUCAUUUCCAAAAAAACAAUAAAAAAUUAUCAUCAAUAAAUGUAAAUAUAGUAAAAGCUUUGGUAUUAUUCCCUUUCAUGUUUUUCUGUUGUAUUCUUACCUUCAUGUAGAUAUCAAUAUCACGAUCUGGCUUGAUAUUAGCAGCUUUCUCUCUUCUUGAUAGUUCAGCCAACAUCUCUAUACAAGUUUUCAGAAAAAACUAAGCAAUUAAUGAUUGUAUAUAUAUUUUCAGUGCCCAAUUAAAAAUAAAACUUAAUGAUAAUUCGUAUACACUUUACCAAACGAUUCUUAGUUAUAAGAAAAAAAUACUAACCAUAUCUAGGGCCAACUCCUUGGCAUCUUGCAGAAAAUUCCAAAGUUUCCCUUACAGUCAUUUCUCCAAUAUGCAAGUCAUAUUGGCUGAUAUAAACAGCAGUUUUUUGUGGAACAAAUUCAUGUAGUUCAUGUCCAUUAUAGGUCACAUUCCCAGUAACCUGAUUUCCAUAGAAAAGGGGAAAACUUAAAAAAAAAAAAAAACUACCUUAUUUAUAAAAGGGUUCUACUUCUAUGAAUUAACAGUGUAAAAUAUUAUAGUAUCAAGCUAUGCUGUUCGAAUUCUUAAAAAUGUCGACGGGUGUGUGCGGGUACUUCAAAAAGUAGUGCAUAGUUGAAGGAUCCGACAGACCAUUUUUGGAGAGUAAGAGCAACAUAGAUAUCAAGUCAAUUUUGAGGUAAUUAAAGGCUAUGUUGCUCGGACUCUUCAGUAUGGAGCCGUACCAGUGUAGGAUCCUCUAUAAAUACACUCUUUUGGAGGAUCCAACAUGCACCCGACAUUAUUUUUAAAGAGUCCAAUUAGUAAACUAAAAAAAGAUAGCAAUCUUCUAUAGUAGGUCAAACUGUAAUGAUUCCGUAAGAAGUCAAUUAUAUAGUCAGUGAAUAUAAGAUAUAUAUUUUAUAUAAUAUAUAAAAUUUAAAGAAAGGAGGUGAAAAAGUAAAAAAAUUCUGAAAAUUUUAAAAAAACUUACCUUUUAAAAUUACUUUAAUUUUUUACUUAGUUUUUAUGAAAGAAGGAAGUUAAAAAAAAUAUUACUUACUACUACUAUAAUGAAUUUUAAUAUACAUCUGUAAUUUGUUAGUCACGCGAAAAUGAAGGAAAAUAUACAUUGUAUAUUCGAUUAGGAAAAUACCAAACUUGCCCCUAUACUUUAGGUAGGAUCUUUGUUCUGUAAGGGUGGAAGGGUAAUAUGUGAUUCAAAGGUUAACGAUAAGUGCAAAUUUAUUCGGAAACUUAGAUAAGGGGUAAAUACAAACAAUUUCCAUAUAACCAGUUUCUCAAAGUACAAGGGUAAAUUUAGUCUUUUUCCCAUUAUCUAUAAUAUAUUUGGUAUUGAAAAUCUUACCUUUAGAGUAGGAUCAAGUUUUCCAGCCAAAGCUAAUAACAAAGUAGUCUUUCCAGAACUUGGAGGUCCCAAAAGUAGAGUCAUCCUUGAAGGCUUAAUCAUACCACUUACAUCAUUGAGAAUUGUGAUUUGCCUCUUUCUACUUGGAAGUAUGUGAAUAGAAUUCAAGAAUGUCUAUGGAGCAAAAAAUUAGAAAGAAAAAAAGAAGUUAGUUUCAAUAAAGGAACAACGGCAUAAAACAUCCCAUGUUAGCAGGGUCUGGGGAAGGUUCAUGUAGACAGUCUAUCAUAAUGCAAGCAUUAGUGACUGCUUUCACGAUUCGAAUUCGUAACAUAUAGGCCACAUGGAAACAACUACACAGUUGCUCCAAGCUCCCCCUUCCUUAAUUUCAAUUAAAAGAAAUUGAAAUAUUAAAAUGUUUGGUUUUUGUAUUCAUAUGUUUACCUCAACAAAGUUGGUCAUGAAAUUGAUAAAAGUAGGCAAAGCUCUGCUUCCUACAUAUGCAUCUGCCUCAAUGUUGAGAUGUUCAUAUCUCACUUCUAUUGAUGGCAAAUCAAUCCCAACUCUGUAAAUUUAUUUAAAGAGAGGGAAAAAAACCACAAGUUAAAUACCAAUCAAUUAAAAAAUAGAAAAGGGAAACUCAACUCAUAGUUAGAAAAAAAAAAAAAAAAAAGUCGAAAUUUCGAUGCACUAAGUUCUGGUUAUGCCUAGGUCUGCGGAAGGACCAAGGAUAGAGCCACAAUUGUGGUUAGGGGUUCGAUACUAGUAACUUUGGCUAAAAUAAUGUAUUUGUGUUAAAAAAAACUUUUAAUAUGUACAAAUAAUCUAUUCAGAACCAGUAAGUAAAAAGAUUGUGGUUCAGAACUCAUAACUUUAGGUCCUGUAUGGCCACGAAAAUUGUAAAAUUUGAAAAACAUAGUUUUUGUUUCCAAAGUGAAAAAUGGCAUUUGGAAAUUGGAGUUGUUUUUGAAUUUGUGUGUAAUUUGGAGUGACCCCUUGACACACAACCACAACUCUACUUAUGCACUGGGUCAAGAAAGGGCCGACAUCCAUUUUUGCAAGAGGUUGUUUUCAUAACUUGAACAUACGACAACUCUUACCAUUAUACCAAGAUAUCCCAAAAUGAAAAAAAACAAACUAUAUAUACAUGAAAAGUUCAAAUUAUUUCACUUACGUCUGAAUUCUGUCCUUGAGUUUCAACAAGAACUUCUCAUUAUCUUCAUCAGCAACCUUGACAAGCCUAUCAAGCAAACGCUUCCUUUCUUGAUGUCCAAUAUCAUUUGUAUCAACUUCAGCAGCAGUUUCACCUUCUUUUCCAAACAAUAAACCUUUUCUCAUCCGAUCGAACGUUGGCAAUUUUUCCAAUGCAGCCCAUUUAAGAGCCUCUUCAUCAUCCUCAUCUCUUCCUGAACGUGAAAAUAUCGAGCGGCUAGAAUCCGCCCUCAUACUUGCCCUCAAACUACCUCUAAAAUUGCUAAGAUUCGCCGACUCCAUCACAAACCAAUGUCCACUCGAUCGAUCAGAAGGCUAAUCUUUUUUUUAGUUCUCGUCAACUCUAAUAAGAACUCGUAAACUAUGCAAAUGAUGACUUCUCGUCGUGCCUAAAAAUGAAAAAUGUGUCCCCAAUACUUCAAAAUUGUCCAAAUGAACAUAACUAGAGUAUUGGGAGAUACCCAAUAUGUAAAGAACAAAAAAUAUAUUUUGGUGUCAAUUUGAUUACAAGGCAGAGCACUUAUAUAGCAGCAAGCUCAGGAUAUAUUAGCGUAAAUAUAGUCUUUUUAUUAAACUAUUUCUUUUAGGUGAAUAUUUUGACUUUCUAGAUUAUGAGGAAAAUCUAGAAUACCCAAAUGCCACCAACCAAUCAAUAUCAAUAUAUUAUUAUGCUAAAAUGUGAAUGGGUGAUAAGGCCAAACUGCAUGAAGUAAAUUGAUGAUAUAUAUUUUUUUCAUUAUAAUUUAAGAAAUAAUAAAAAAAAUUUAAUUAGAGAUAAAAAAUACUUCCUCCAUUUCAUAAAGAGUGAUCUGGUUUGACUUGGCACAAAAUUUUAGAAAAUAAAGGAGAGUUUUGAAUCUUGUAAUCCUAAAUUAAAGUGACGUGAAAUGUACUAAAUUGCCAUUCAAUUUUGUGGCUUUAAACAUGUCAGUGUGAAAAGCUGAAAUUAAAAAUCAUUCUUUUUUAAACGGAUUAAAAAGGAAAGCAGAUCAUAACAAUUAUUCCUACACAAAACUUGGAAUUUAGUAAGGAAUUAAUUAAAAAAAAACACAGUAAUAAUAAUUUUAAAAAAAAGUCUUCAAUUUGUUUACCUAUUAGAGUAUCAGUACAGCUGAUUUGUAGGGAUUUAUAUAUAUAUAGUUAGCUUAUGAGUCUCUCUCAAAGAGUGACUAAUUUGCUUCACCGCCACCGUGGAAGGAGACGGAACAGCUUUUCCGGCCGGAAAUAACAUCUCCGGUGACUGGGAAAGAACUGUGUGGUACUCCACGCGCCGGCGCGUGCUCCGACCUAAGGGAUCGCGGUUGUAUCUCCGAUAUGGCUCUGUAAAAUCCGGUUAGAAGUGUUUGAGAAUUCGGAACUGGUGAAGAUGGAAGUGAAGAUGUAAAUUUUUGGAGAAAAAAAGUGGCUACCUCAUAAUUCAUUAUAUAAAGUUGAACAGUUUUGUGUAGUAUAAUAUAAAUUAAUGUCAGUGUAUGUCACCCAAAUUGUCACUUGGGAGGCCAUAAUAAUGCGAUGAUGCGAAUAUUUAUUUGUUCAAAUUAUUUACAUCAAAGUUAAAGAAUAUAGAUGUCUGAAGUUAAAGGAUGUGUUUAUAUAUUAUAACUUUCGAUGUAACUUUUGAUCACACAAAAUAUCCUCUCUGAUUACUUUGUAACAAAUAUUAAAUUUUGAGGUUGUUCAAUCAAUCUUUUCUAUCACCUUGUCAUGUGAAUUAAACUAGUGAAACGCGGUUAUAAAUUUAUUAGUGAACUCAUGGGUUGGUUGGUUGUACUUUUUAAAAUAUUACACCUUAAUUGGAUGGUUGUUACUCAUUAUAUGAUAUUAUAUUAUUAAUUUAAAUAUAUGUUUGUUUUGACUGUUACUUAAUUUUUAUUAUAUCAUAUAUUUAAUUCAUUUUAAUUUAACGAUUAAAUAUAAAUAGUAUAUAUAUAUAUAUAUUAUUGUAAUUGACCAUUAGAUAGUAAAUUUGAAACCACAAAAUAUAAAAUAAUAAUUUAAAUAUAAUUUAACACUCAUAGUUGUAUAAUAACUAUUUUAAUGAUCGAAAAAAUGAACUAAAGAUAUUUUAUUGAAAUUCUAAAUACAAAUUUGACAAAUCGAUGACCUUUUAUUACUCAUUCAAUAUUAAUUUUCUCUAUUGCUAUGUGAUUUCCUAUCUCAUUUAAACCUCAUAAUUAUAUAGGAAAUUUUAAAAAUUAGGUAUGUAAGACAAUUUUAUUUAGAAAAAAAAAGGGAAUAGCAAGAAAACUAUAGAUUGAUAAGAGGUAUAUAAGGAAAUGGAAUAAAUAACAAUAAUAAGAAAAAGAUAUUUUUUUAUUUGAAAGAAGAUGGAAGAAAGAGAAAAAUUAGAAAGAGACAUGAAGAAAUGAAAUAAAUGUUAAUAAUUAAUGAGGAAAGAAAUAAUUUUGAAGAAAUGAAAUAAAUGCUAAUAGUUAAUACUUAAUAAGGAAAGAAAUAUUAAGAGAUUUUAUUGAAAUUCUUAGUAAGAAUUGGAGAAAACGGUUAAAUUAUUAUCCAAUCAAUAUUAAUAUUCUCUAUUAUUACGUGAUUUUCUUCCCUAUUUAAAACUCAUAAUUAUAUAAGAAUUUUAAUAGUUGAGUAUGAUAAGAUGAUUUUAAUCAAAGUAUAAAAAAAAAAAGAGAGAGAGAGAAAAGUGGCAAGAGAUGCAUUUUAAGGAAAUGAAAUAAAUGACAAUAAUGAGGAAAAUUAUAUUUAUUUUUAGUUUGGAAGAAAACGGAAGAAAGAGAAGAAAAGAGAGAUUUAAAGAAAUGAAAUAAAACUCAAUAAUUAAUAAGAAAAGAAAUAUAAGUUUCUAUAAAUUUUUUGUUAAAAAAUUAAGAAAAAGGUUUAAAAAUUUCGAGAAAUAAAAUAAAAUAAUGAUACUGCCCAAUGAGAUAUGUCCCACUUUAAUAGAGUAUAUAUAGAUAUAGAUCUUUAGAAGAGGAAAGGAUAGAAAGAUUUUAGUAAUAUAUAUAGAUAUAAAUCUUUAGAAGAAGAAAUGUAUAUAUAUAGGAAGAAUAAAUGUGAGUCCAUUUUUGUUGGUUAUUGAUGCUCAAAUCCAUUUGUUUUAUAGGUAAAUCUACAAACAGUUGUGGAAAACAAAAAGUUUCUUAUCUUUUCAUAUUCUUUUUUCUUAAAUGUAUAGUAAUUUAAGAGAUGUUUUUAAAGGGAGGAGAUUAGUUGGGUAAAAAAAUAAAUAAAUAAAAAUGCUAAUUUAUAUAUAUUUUAAAUAUUUAACUUAAGUAAGUACAACUAAUUUAUAGUCAACCAAUUAUCUUGAAAUAGGAAAACACUGGUAUUAUGCUAAUUUUAUCUAUAUUAAUGCUUAUAAGAAGAAAAGUGAUUAAUUUUAUAAUGGUAUAUAUCAAAGAAACACAAAAGGCUAAAAAAAAAGUACUUACUAAGAAGAUAAAUGCAAGGUUAAAGUAAUUUAGCAAAAUUUGAACGUCACUUUAAAUGCGGAGUUAAAUGUGAUUUUUAAAUCAUGGAUAUGUUUAAUGAUAGGAGUUAAAUAUCUUUUUUUUAAUCAUAAAUACAUUUACUUUGUAAUUAAAAAAUGAGAUAAAAGCUCAAAAAAUUAACAAAUAAUAUAAAUACUAAUAGAGAUUAUUGGUACCACAAUCAUCGUUUUGACAUUCAGCUUUUUUUUAUAUAUAUAUAUUGAUUUAUCAAAGUUGACCUUCAAUUUAAUCUAUGUUAAUAACUUACUUCUCUAUCACCUUGUCAUAUGUAUUAAAUUUAUCAAAGUUGGCCUUCAAUUUGAUUUAUGUUAAGUUAACUUACUAUACAUCUUUAAGUGUAAUAUUUUAUUCUUUUUCGAUCAUUGACUGUUUCGUGAUUUUACUGUAAAUCAAGUUAUUGUUAAACAACAUGUAUAUGAUGACUUCUACAUCUUUGGUGGAUGGGAUUCUCGGUAAGUUGUCUGCUUAUCGUAUCUCCUUUUUUGAAGUACAUUGUUGAUUAAACAUCCUUCUCUACCUCUAUUGAAGAAGCUUUGUCCCGUGUUUCAAAAUAUUUCUUCAUUGAAUUAUGAGUUAUGUCGAUUUGCAAAACAUCAUCACAUCUCAUUAUCUCCAAGGAUUGAUAAGCGGGAUGAGUCACUCUUAAGUCUUUACUCACUUUUGUACUUUCUGUGUUGAAUUUAAAACUCAAUUCAAUGUUUCGAUACGUAUUCUAAAGUAGUUCAAGAGCUAAAGGACCAUUCUGCAUUGUACAAACUAGAAGUAAUACUUUUCAACAUUGAGAAUAGGAUUUGUGGAGGGGAAAGUAAGGAGAAAAUAAAUCCAAAUAAAGAUUAAAUUCCUUGUAUAUUUUCAUUUAUUAAUUAAUAAACAAAUCAUUAUAUUGUACAACAAAACUUGGAAUUAUUAAGUAGGAAACCAAACAAAAUCUUUAAAAAAUGAACUGUAUAUAGUAGUUCUGUAUCCUCUUCUUUCUCUCAAGUUGUUAGAAAAUGAACUCUCUUUUAUCUUUUCUGGAAGUUCAAUGCCUUAAUGGCAUAUGCAAACAGGACGGCGAAAACAACAGGCCAUGCAACGAUACCUGCUGCAACGACUCCUUGUAUAUUUUCAUUUAUUAAUGAACAAUUAUUUAAUUGUACAACAAAACUAGGGACUAAGGAAGAAACCAAAAAAAUAUAAACAAUUUUCAAAAAGUGAACUGCACAUAGUAGUCUAUUCUUUCUCUCAAGUUGUUAGAAAGUGAACACUCUUUAUCUUUUCUGGAAGUUGAAUGCCUUAAUGGCAAAUGCAAACAGGAAGGCAAAAACAACAGGCCAUGCAACGAUAAUUGCUGCAACGACUCCAAGAAAAUCAUGCUCAAAUCCAAAAUAACGCCCCAAGAAUUGUUCAACAUUUUCAUUAUUGGUGAGAGGAGUUUGGAUGUCUCCGAAUUGUGAUGCAACAAGACCAUACAAGGUCCAUGCAACAGGGCAAAGCCAAUAGUACCAUCUCCACCAUAUUGGAAUACGCUGUUUUUAGCAAAACAGACACAAAGAUAACAUGUCAUUUUUCCGAGAAACAGUGGAUAAAAAGAAAGAUGGAAAUGAAGGAUUUUAAAAAACUUACAGGUCGUGGAACGACGAAUCCUGAGAAGAGAUUCCAUAGAGCAUAGAAGAAGGCCGCGAUUAUAGAAGCAACGUUUUGAUUAGGGGAAACAGCCACAGUCAGCAUGCCAUAGAAGGUGAAGUACAAGAGAGUGAAGUACAUGAUGAAGAGGUACCAAAAGAACUUGGCAACAGUCCAUUCGAAUCCGAUCAUUGCAUACACAAUUAUACCAUAGAAAACUGCUUGUAAAAAUACAUAAGGUAUUUCAAUGACAACCUGUGCAAAGGCAUAAGGUAAAGCAGAAUACAUUCCAGCAGCUCUUUCUCUGUAAAAUACAGUACGCUCAACGGCUACAACAGGCUGGGCUGAUGAUGAAUUUUGUACACCAAGGAAGAGAGUUGCAGCAUACAUAGAUCCCAUAGCAUUAAAAAGAUCCUGGCUCCGACUCCUGUAAUCAAUAAAGCUCGAAAAGUUUAGGGAAAAAACUACCUUAUUUCAAGUUUAUAUUUACUUGUCAAUGUGAUUUUACUUACACUCUGCUACCAAGAUCCCAGAACAAUGUGCCAAAGACUAGUGCUAGAAUGACUGUGAAGAUGAAUCUAACUGCCGUGUAAGAUGGAUUACGCCAGUAUGACAAAUGUUGUUUCCAGAGACAUGCCAUACAUUGAGACCAGAAAGACUGUGAAAAUUGAGUUUCAAAAUGCAGAUCCUUUGUACCAGGGCGAGGCGUACUUAAUUCAGCAAUCAAGGCUUUGUUCCUCUUGUAGAGGUCUGAAUUCUUGUACAAAUCAGUAAAGUCAACUCCUAACAUCAUUUCUUGAGAUGCGGCUGUGACUUCUAACAUCCAAGUUGCUGGAUUGUAAGCCUCUUUUAUCUUACUAACUCCAGGCAAUGACUGAACUCAAGACAAAACUGAGAUUAGUAUUUGAUUAUAUAAACUAGGAAAAAGUAAACACAAAUUUUUCUUUGUUAACAUACCUCAAAGUAUUUGAUCAAGUGACAAGAAUAGCGACCCAGAGGACCAACAUAUAUCUCCUGUCCUCCUCGUUUCAUUAGAAAUAGCUGCAAAGCCGUGUUUCACUUUUAAUACAGGCGGCAAAGAGAAAGUGGAAACAAUAUGCUUGGAAGGUUAAUAAUCUCACCUCAUCAAAGGAUUCAAAAAUGUCGAUGCUAGGCUGAUGAAUGGUACAGACGACAGUUCUACCUGUAUCGACAGUGUUCCUAACAGCUCUCAUUACAAUGGCAGCAGCUCUUGCAUCCAACCCCGAAGUUGGUUCAUCCAUGAAAAUAAUAGAGGGGUUUGCUACCAGUUCAACUGCAAUGGUCAGCCUUUUGCGUUGCUCGGUUGAUAGACCAUUGACUCCAGGCAAUCCGACUAAGGCUGAUCUUAAGGGAGUUAGCUCCACAAGCUCCAUAACUUCCUCAACAAACAUCUGCAGAGAGGAAUAUCAAUAAUCGUUUGAUAGAGUGUAUACGACUGUUUCUUUAAUAUGUUCAACCAAUUUUAUGGAGUAAUGAUUUAGGGGAACCGACCUUUCUCUUGUUUUUGUCAACAUCAUGAGAUAAACGCAGCCAAGCUGAGUAAACCAAUGACUCAUAAACUGUAAUAUAAGGCGAAUGGAUGUCAUUCUGCUCACAAUAUCCAGAAAUACGUGCAAAUGUUGCUUGCUUCUUCGGAUAUCCAGAAAUCUUGAUGUCACCAUCAAUAUAUCCUCCUGUUUUUCUUCCGGCCAACACAUCCAUCAGUGUUGUUUUACCAGCUCCACUAACGCCCAUCAAAGCUGUGAGAACACCUGGUCUGAAAGCUCCACUCACACCUUUUAGAAGUACUAAUCUAUCUUCAGUGGAACCUUGGUCUUUUAUUUCCUGCAAUUCAUUAAAAAAUGUUAAGUUAGUUGUUUAUAGAAAAUAAAAGCGUUACGAGUCACGGUACUAUUCAUGAAAGGUUACCUGAGGCAUGUCAACGGAGUAUACAACGUUGUCAAAAGUGAUGGAAUGCGGUUCAAAUGGAAGAACCAUUCCCCUCUUCUUGCCCUGACCCUCAGUUUCACUUCCCUCAAUGAGUUGAACAUUCUCAUUAUCUUCUGAUAAUAUAGCUUGUGGCUUACCAAAAGCUGAAAAUGUUUAAGAAAUAUGGUAUUAGCCCCGUUUUCCCGGUAGUAUAUGGCAUCGUUCAUUUUAUGUUCUUUUCAAGGGGAAUUUAAAUGCAUCAGAGAUACUCACGGUUCAGGUAAGCUAGUCCAACACUGUAGCAGACGUUGAAGAUUAUAAUGUAUCCAAUAAGUGCCCCAACACCAAUCCAGUACCAAUAUGCAUCUGGAAAGAACCCACGAGAUCUUACUACUGCAUGUCCAAGUGAUUCAGCUCCAUUUGGCGCGAUCUGUUUGAAUUAAGAGUGGGUAUGAGCAUCCAUAUAUGAGAAAAUUAGCUAUUUGCAUGUGAUUUGGAAUAAAAACACUUACACGUUCCCAUUUCUUCCCAUCAAAUUCAUUCACAAGAAUUGAAUUCACAGAAUACAUUAAUGGUGAGAUCCAGUAACCCCAGAUCCACCAUUUCUUCACAUCAUCUGUAGCAUCAUGCAAAAUAGAAAAUCAAUAAAGGUAUGAAAUGAUUGAACAAGCAAAAAGAGUUUUUGCGAAUAUAACAAAACAUACUUCUCGAGAGCACAAAUCCAGACAAUGCAAAUUGCAAAACCAGUGCAAAUGCUCCAAAUGUUGUAGCGACUCCCAUUGUUCUCCCCGCUGCACCAAUGAAUCUGAACAAUCCCGAUGCCAUCUGGUGUACUAGUACGAGAAGCAAGAAUUGUUUGAACAAUCUGCAAAGCCAUAGUUCCUUAAUAAUCAUGAAAUUAUAUGAAGGUCAUCAAAUUAUUACUCUGCACUGUAUUUUUUCUUCCCUUACCUUGAAACAUUCGGAUCAAAUCCCAUGACAUAAUAGGUAAGAAAUGUCCAAAGACCAACUUCAAAAAAUGUUAUUGGGAUUUUGAGAAACCAUGUCGGAAGGGCAUAAGCCCAUGAAGGAUAAAAAAGAAGGUCCCUUUGCUUGAAGUAGACUGGAAGCUUUAAAAUCGUCAGGUUGAUCUCAGCCAUUCCAUUAAACAUAAUCACAACGACUACGAAAAAGAGAGCACCAGCAUACAUCCCUCCAUCAUCCAUAUUAUCUCGGGGCAUCUCAGUACGGAAAAAGACGGACAUCAUUAUAAAUGCCAUUACCAUGAGCUGAGAAAACAGAACAGAAACAAGGAGAAUUAACAAUUGGCAUAUGGUUAUGAAAUGGAAAACACUUUUAUAUUUCUAAUAGACUAAGUAGUAAGUACCUGAAAGAGCUUAAAUAUGUAAACAAAUGAGUUCCUCUUCAUUAGUAGGAAUUCUCGGUCAGCGCAGACCUUCAACAUUUGUUUCGUCCCUAUACCAUACUUCUUAGUAGACAAAGCAGCAGGGUGGCUUUUGGUCUUGUCAUAAGGAGUUGUAAGCUCAUCGGCGAGUUUCUUUCCAACAUGGAAAGACUGAUAAGCCUCGGCAAAUUCUUUUGAUGUGAUAAACCUAUAAGGUUCAUCCUUCUUAGCCCAAUAUUGUUGUUGAUCCUUCUUUGAUGUUACCUGCAAGCCAUAAUUUAAAACUUCACUCUUGUAUGUCGAAGACAUCGUAAGCUACAUAACAGUUUCGUAUAUCUAACAGAUUAAGCAUUUAUGGCGGUCACACACUUCAACAUAGUAUCAUAAUAGACGAAGGUCGUUGGUUAAGUGUUAUCAUUACUCAUAAAAAAGAACAUAAUACUGCGCUCUCUCUAACAGUUUAAACUCUUAUAUUUUAUUGUAAGACAUACCUCUUGCAAGAAAUCUGCCACACCUUUCCUCUCGGGGCAUUUGAAUCCCAUGGAUUCAAAAAAGUCAAGAACAUCUUCUCGAGGGCCCUGAUAUACAAUACGUGCAUCUGACAACAGAAUUAUGUCAUCAAAUAAGUUGUAAGUCUCAGGAGCUGGCUGCAACAGAGAUAUCACAGCAGUUCCCUUCAAGAGCUGCACCGAUUGUCUUAGCGAAUUGACAAUGGAGAAAGUAGUUGAACUGUCCAAUCCAGUUGAGAUUUCAUCCAUGAAAAGCGCCUUUGAUGGUCCAACAAGCAUUUCACCCGUCGUUACACGUUUCUUUUGCCCCCCUGAAAUACCCCUUAGCAUUUCAUCUCCCACCAUAGUAUCGGCACAGAUAUCCAGUCCCAAAAUCUGUAAACGGAAAUCAAAUUACUAACUAUAGGUAACGUCCAUAAGAUAGGUUAUCUGCUACAACAAGUUAAAAAGCACUAUAUACAUUAAAUCCUUAUUAAGCGAAAUAAUUUUGAUAUUGCCAAAUGUUACCUUAAGAACAUAAUCUGUAACAAUAUUGGCUUCCUGUCCUUCUGUUACUGAAGCCUACAUUUCCCAAAAACAAUAAACAUUAUUAACAUCUAUAAUAAAAGAUUUAGUAUUAUUCGCUUUCAUGUCUUUCUGUUGUAUUCUUACCUUCAUAUAGAUAUCAAUAUCACGAUCUGGCUUGAUAUUAGCUGCUUUCUCUCUUCUUGAUAGUUCAGCCAACAUCUCUAUACAAAUUUUGUAAAUGAAUUAAAUCUUGUUUCAGACUAAUACAGUAUAUUCAGUACUAUUCGUAUACACUCUAUUAAACUAACCAUAUCUCGGGCCAACUCCUUGGCAUCUUGCAGAAAAUUCCAAAGUUUCCCUUACAGUCAUUUCUCCAAUAUGCAAGUCAUGUUGACUGAUAUAAACAGCUGUUUUUUGUGGAACAAAUUCAUGUAGUUUAUGUCCAUUAUAGGUCACAUUCCCAGUAACCUGAUUUCCAACAAAAAAGGGGAAAAAGUUUAGUAGGUUCAAUUUCUAUGAAUUGACAGAUUAAGAAAAUUAAAGACUAUGGUGCUCGAAUUCUUCAAAAAUAUAGGCAUGUCGGAUACUCCCAAAAUAGUGUUAUUUUGAAGAAUCCGACACAGGUGCAACAGUAUUUUGGGAGACUAUGAACAACAUAGAUUAAAGGCAUAAUCAUAAACAUGCCAUUUAACUUGGGCUCGACUGACAUCUAUGCACAAGUAGGCAUCUAAACUUGUAUAAAACUGAACAAAUAGACCGAGUGAGUAUGAUAUAUUUGGAAUUGAAAUUUUUACCUUUAGAGUAGGAUCAAGUUUUCCAGCCAAAGCUAAUAACAAAGUAGUCUUUCCAGAACUUGGAGGUCCCAAAAGUAGAGUCAUCCUUGAAGGCUUAAUCAUACCACUUACAUCAUUGAGAAUUGUGAUUUGCCUCUUUCUACUUGGAAGUAUGUGAAUAGUAUUCAAGAAUGUCUUUGGAGCAAAAAAUUAGAAAAAAGAAGAAGUUAGUUUCAAUUUAAAAAGAAACAGACAGUCCACUGCACAAAGCAUCCCACGUUAGCAGGGUUCGAGGAAGUGUCACACCUCACAGGGUGAGAUGUAGAUAGUCUUGCAUUACCCUAAUACAAGGAUUAAUGACUGCUACCACGACUCAAACUCCCUCCUUAGUUUCUUUUAAAAUAUUAAUUAUUAUUUUUUAAUUUCAUAUUUUUACCUCAAGAAAGUUGGUCAUGAAGUUGAUAAAAGUAGGCAAAGCUCUGCUUCCUACAUAUGCAUCUGCCUCAAUAUUCAGAUGUUCAUAUCUCACUUCUAUUGAUGGCAAAUCAAUCCCAACUCUGUAAAAUCAUCCAAAGAGAUUAAAAAAAGAACACAAGUUAAAUACCAAUUAAAUAAAAAAUAGAAAAAGGAAAUUCAACUCAUAGUUAGAAUAAAAAAAGAAGAGAAAAAGUCAAAAUUUCAAUGCACUAAGUUCUCGCCUAUGUCUGAGGAAGGACCAAGUUCAACACAAGGCAACAACUCUUAGUAUGCAUGGAUCAAGAAAGGUCAUUUCUGUUAGAGGUUAUUUUCACAACUUGAACAUUUAACUUAUGAUCACACAACGACAACGACAAAACAAACUAUAUAUACAUGAAAAAUUUAAAAUUAUGUGACUUACGUUUCAAUUCUGUCCUUAAGUUUCAACAAGAACUUCUCAUUAUCUUCAUCAGCAACCUUAACAAGCCUAUCAAGUAAAUUCUUCCUUUCUUGAUGUCCAAUAUCAUUUGUAUCAACUUCAGCAAUAGUUUCACCUUCUUUACCAAACAAUAAACCUUUUCUCAUUCGAUCGAACGUAGGCAAUUUUUCUAAAGCAGCCCAUUUAAGAGCCUCUUCAUCAUCCUCAUCUCUUCCUGAACGCGAAAAUAUCGAGUUACUAGAAUUUCCCCUCAUACUUGCCCUUAAACUACCUCUAAAAUUGUUAAGAUUCAUCCCCUCCAUCAUGAAUAUUCACUCGAUCGAUCAAAAGGCUAAUCAACUCUAACCAGAACUCGUAAACUAUACAAAUGAACUUUUUUUUGUCCCCUAUACUUCAAACUUGAGUAUGGGAGAUACCCAAAUUUUUUUGUGAUUUUUUUUCUAGUAUUAUGAUAUGGUUUAUAAAGAAGAAAAAGAAUAGUUGGUGAGAAAUAAGAGUCAAAGGCAGAGCACCUAUGUAGCAAAAAGUUAAGGAUGUAUUAACGCAAAUGUAGUCUUUUUUUGACUUGACUAGAUUGUGACUAAUAUUGAAGAAAAUCUAGAAUAGUCAAAAGCCAUCAUUCAAUAAAGACGGUCUCUUUUGUACUUACGUAAUGCUAAAAUAUGAGUGGUGGAGAAGGUAUCAGAGAAGCUAAUAAAGUCAAAAAAUACAUUAAAUAAAUCGAUGGUAUGUAAAAAAAUAUUCAUUUAUCAUUUAACAAAUAGUACUAAUUAUUUCUACACAAAACUUGGAAUUCAAUAAGGUAAAAAUACAACAUACAUAGAAAAUUAAAAAAAAAAGUCUUCAAGUUGUGAGUUGUGACAUAUACACAAUUGUUGUGUCUUUUAUCUUCUCUGGAAGUUGAAUGCCUUAAUGCCUAAUGCAAAUGUCAAGGCAAACAUAACAGGCAACGCAGCGAUCACAGCAGCAACAACGCCAAGAAAAUCAUGCUUAAAUCCGAAGUAACGUCUCAAGAAUUGUUCAACAUUUUCAUCAUCGGUGAGAGGAGUUUGGAUGUCUCCGAAUUGUGAUGCAACAAGACCAUACAAGGUCCAUGCAACAGGGCAAGCCCAGUAGUACCAUCUCCACCAUAUUGGAAUACGCUGUUUUUAGUAAAAAAAAAGAACAUAACAUGUCAUUUUUCGUUGUUCAG
rnacentral:lncRNA from 1 species